CAACAGGGAUUGCCCUAGUAACGGCGAGUGAAGCGGCAACAGCUCAAAUUUGAAAUCUGGCUCUCGGGCCCGAGUUGUAAUUUGUAGAGGAUGCUUUUGAUGCGGUGCCUUCCGAGUUCCCUGGAACGGGACGCCAUAGAGGGUGAGAGCCCCGUCUGGUUGGAUGCCAAAUCUCUGUAAAGCUCCUUCGACGAGUCGAGUAGUUUGGGAAUGCUGCUCUAAAUGGGAGGUAUAUGUCUUCUAAAGCUAAAUACCGGCCAGAGACCGAUAGCGCACAAGUAGAGUGAUCGAAAGAUGAAAAGCACUUUGAAAAGAGAGUUAAAAAGUACGUGAAAUUGUUGAAAGGGAAGCGUUUAUGACCAGACUUGGGCUUGGAUAAUCAUCUGGGGUUCUCUCCAGUGCACUUUUCCAGUCCAGGCCAGCAUCAGUUUUCGCCGGGGGAUAAAGGCUUCGGGAAUGUGGCUCUCUCCGGGGAGUGUUAU
rnacentral:rRNA from 2 species